UCACGAAAAAUUAAGAGUAAUCUUUUUGUAUUCCCAAAUCUCAUUAAAACAUAGCAUAAAUAGGCACAAUACCACAAUAAUCUAAGUAAUGAGCAAAUUCAAAAAAAAUGCACAAAGGAAUAAAGAAUGCAGCACCAAAGAUAAAUAAAAGUAUAGGAGAUAGUGGGAAGCAAAAUUCAGUCAUUAAAAUUUUGUGACUCUAAUCAAUAGUUAAAAGAUAUAACCACGUUUAUAAAUUGCUUCAAGGAACUCGUUUCUGCCAGAAAUUGAACGAGCAAAAGAAAAGGAAUCUGACCUUAAUAUGUUAAUGAGAACUCAGUUAUAAUAAAACUCUACUACCAGAUCUGGCCGGAAGAAGCGACAGUAACAAGAGCCCGGACAGCUGCAAUCAAACCGGAACCGCGAAGCUCAAGCGACACGAAUGACGGCCUUCGUCAAAAACACGAAUGACGACCUUCUUUACACUUCUUCUGCUCAUUUUUAACUAGUUGAAACUUGGAGUUCAUGGGCAAAAAUGGAACUUAAGUUGCAGCUUCUUGGAGACAAUAGACAGUGGCGAGGAAGCUGUGCGUGUGGGCGUUCAGCGUCAAAGGGCUGUUGCUGCUCGCUUGAUGAUGGGAGGCAGCAGGUGGAGGGGUCGACGAUGUGGUGGUUUCGCCGGACUGGUGGGGUCGUUUGGUACUGGUUCGUUGAUGUGGGGUGCGGUUCGACUGACGUGAGGUCGACUGGAGGGGGAAGUGAGAGGCGUGACUGAGCAGUUGGUUUCAGCGAUGGAGGGGUCGUUGAUGAGAGACUUGUGAGGUGGUCUCUUGACGACGUGAGGGUCGUCGGUGUGAGGGCGACGCUGGACGGGGACUGCUGGUGACGAAGAUGACUGGUUCACGACGGACUGGUGGUUUGGUUGUUCUCCAAUGGAGAUGGUCGUGGAGGAGGGGUCGUGUACGACGAUCAGGGGUUCGUUUUUCUUCAGCCUGUAUUUUCUAAGUCCUCCCGGCGCAGAUGACCCACGGUAGUAUAUCUCGACUAAGUCAAAAAUCUCUCCUAAAAAAUGUGUGUUCUUCUCC
rnacentral:lncRNA from 1 species